GGGGAAUAUUGCACAAUGGGCGCAAGCCUGAUGCAGCGACGCCGCGUGGGGGAUGAAGGCCUUCGGGUUGUAAACUCCUUUCGCUAGGGACGAAGCUUUUUGGUGACGGUACCUAGAUAAGAAGCACCGGCUAACUACGUGCCAGCAGCCGCGGUAAUACGUAGGGUGCGAGCGUUGUCCGGAAUUACUGGGCGUAAAGGGCUCGUAGGUGGUUUGUCGCGUCGUCUGUGAAAUUCUGGGGCUUAACUCCGGGCGUGCAGGCGAUACGGGCAUAACUUGAGUGCUGUAGGGGUAACUGGAAUUCCUGGUGUAGCGGUGAAAUGCGCAGAUAUCAGGAGGAACACCGAUGGCGAAGGCAGGUUACUGGGCGGUUACUGACGCUGAGGAGCGAAAGCAUGGGUAGCGAACAGGAUUAGAUACCCUGGUAGUCCAUGCCGUAAACGGUGGGCGCUAGGUGUGAGGGUCUUUCUACGACUUUCGUGCCGUAGCUAACGCAUUAAGCGCCCCGCCUGGGGAGUACGGCCGCAAGGCUA
rnacentral:rRNA from 1 species